AACGUAGGAGACAAACGUUAUCCGGAGUUACUGGGCGUAAAGGGCGUGUAGGUGGUUUCGCAAGUCUGGCGUGAAAUUUUUCGGCUUAACCGGGAAAGGUCGUCGGAUACUGCGGGACUAGAGGACGGUAGAGGCGUGUGGAAUUCCGGGUGUAGUGGUGAAAUGCGUAGAGAUCCGGAGGAACACCAGUGGCGAAGGCGACACGCUGGGCCGUACCUGACACUGAUGCGCGCCAGCAUGGGGAGCAAACAGG
rnacentral:rRNA from 1 species